rnacentral:rRNA from 1 species
GAUGAACGCUGGCGGCGUGCCUAGUACAUGCAAGUCGAGCGAACAGACGAGGAGCUUGCUCCUCUGACGUUAGCGGCGGACGGGUGAGUAACGCGUGGAUAACCUACCUAUAAGACUGGGAUAACUUCGGGAAACCGGAGCUAAUACCGGAUAAUAUAUUGAACCGCAUGGUUCAAUAGUGAAAGACGGUUUUGCUGUCACUUAUAGAUGGAUCCGCGCCGCAUUAGCUAGUUGGUAAGGUAACGGCUUACCAAGGCAACGAUGCGUAGCCGACCUGAGAGGGUGAUCGGCCACACUGGAACUGAGACACGGUCCAGACUCCUACGGGAGGCAGCAGUAGGGAAUCUUCCGCAAUGGGCGAAAGCUUGACGGAGCAACGCCGCGUGAGUGAUGAAGGUCUUCGGAUCGUAAAGCUCUGUUAUUAGGGAAGAACAAAUGUGUAUGUAACUAUGCACGUCUUGACGGUACCUAAUCAGAAAGCCACGGCUAACUACGUG